rnacentral:lncRNA from 1 species
UGUGCUCCAAAACGAAUCACAGCUGUUGCUCUUGAUGCAUAUGACAUUGUUGGUAAAUGGGGUGUCGACAUUUACGUCACAGCCAUUCUAACCAACUAUCGCAGUAACAGGUUUGACCGGCUUACAAUUAAAUCCUGUCCAGGUCAAGUCCUAUGCAGGUCAACUCACCCCUGAUCUCUACGGACAGCAGCUGGAAUGUGAUCGAAGCGUGCAUUUCUUUGGUGCAUGUCUACGCGAAACAUUUGCAGCGACGCAGUUUUAAUCUUAUCCAACCUUUUAUGCUGUAAGAUUUUGCUCUUUAGCCUCUUGUCCAUAGUUAUAGCAAUGGCACUUUCCGCGACCGUGCCCCUGGGCACUCAAGUCAUGGCCACCAGCAGGUUAGCCAUACUCAAAUGUACAAGGCCUGUGUUGCAUGGUAUGGUCUUUCGUUAACUCCCUUGCCUGCCUUCACGGCUAACCUGCCUUCAUAACUUCACGCACAUAAAGCCCGCAUGCACUGAACGGGCACGUCGCGCUCCCGUCGAGCGUUUGCAG